GAUGCUAGAAACAUAGCAGAAGUUCAGAUGUAAAGAGAGAAAGAAAAGGCUGAGCAUGAUGAGUGGAGAAAGCAGUACAAACAGCAUUUAAGAUCCUGGUACAUUUUUUUACGUUUUAGGUGACAGAUUGCCAGAUGAACGGAUCAGUGCACGUUAUUAUAUUUAAGUAUGAAGGUUGUGGUACUGUUUAAAAGAUUCUGCGAUGGAAAGGGUACAAAGAUGUAGUUUUGGCUCCUGGUUUUGCUACUGCUGCAGUGUUCGUUGGCCGUGUAAGCGUGUGCUGUCAGCGUCCGCUAGCUUUCAGACAUUUUCCAUUUCCACUCGCACGUCACUUAGCGUUCAAGUGUCUCAGAGUGAAACCUGUUGUGUCAGCAGGAAUGAGUUUGCUUUGCCUCCGCUUGCUUUUUGACACACAACGGAGUAAACACAGGCUUAUUUAACUACAAACAGUCAUAAAAUGAGCUGAUAAUCACUUAUAUCUGUAUGCCCAUGUGUCAGUCUGUUUAUCUGUCUGUCUCGUUAUGUAUGUACCCAUGUCUGCAUGUCUGUCUCUUGAAGCACGUCUGUCUAUCUGGUGAUAUAGGACAGACUAAGACUGUGGGCUGAAUAUUAAAGAAAAAUAUAAUACA